ACAUGCCUACAACAUAGCGUUAAUGCGUCGGAUCCCAUUAGAACUCCACAGUUAAGCGCGCUUGGUCUAGAGUAGUACUGUGAUGGGUGACUGCUCAGGAAGUACUAGUAUUUUACAUGCC
rnacentral:rRNA from 1 species